CUCUGAAGGUUUGUGACCAAGACGGGAAGUGGCUGGAUGCUGAACCCAUCCCAGGCACCAUCCUCAUACUGGCCGGAGACUUUCCCAAGUACUACUCAGACAACAAGGUGGUCGCUGCGGUUCACCAAGUGGUGAUUCCUGCCGAGGAGAUACAACGAAAGGCGCCUCUCACCUCCGUCGCUUACUUCAUCCACGCUGAUGGCCACAUCCCCAUAAGGCCCAGGGAAUCUUCCACUGAAGAGCCUCCCACAGUGCUGGAAUACGCUUGCAGCAGGCUGGCUAGGGCUUAUACUCACGAAUAACGACUUAACGCUUGCAGCAAGCCAUCCCAGUAAUCAUUACCACUUGAAUCAUACUGUGAAGGUCGUGUUUAUUACCACUUGACCAGUCUCCAUCCUUUACUAUCAUCAUCUUACCAGACUGUGUUCUGAGUAGAGUGUCCAGAAUAAAUGUGUGAAAUUUC